UAGGGAAUCUUCCACAAUGGACGCAAGUCUGAUGGAGCAACGCCGCGUGAGUGAAGAAGGUCUUCGGAUCGUAAAGCUCUGUCUUUUGGGACGAUAAUGACGGUACCAAAGGAGGAAGCCACGGCUAACUACGUGCCAGCAGCCGCGGUAAUACGUAGGUGGCGAGCGUUGUCCGGAUUUACUGGGCGUAAAGGGUGCGUAGGCGGAUGUUUAAGUGAGAUGUGAAAUACCCGGGCUUAACUUGGGUGCUGCAUUUCAAACUGGAUAUCUAGAGUGCAGGAGAGGAGAAUGGAAUUCCUAGUGUAGCGGUGAAAUGCGUAGAGAUUAGGAAGAACACCAGUGGCGAAGGCGAUUCUCUGGACUGUAACUGACGCUGAGGCACGAAAGCGUGGGUAGCAAACAGGAUUAGAUACCCUGGUAGUCCACGCCGUAAACGAUGAGUACUAGGUGUAGGAGGUAUCGACCCCUUCUGUGCCGCAGUAAACACAUUAAGUACUCCGCCUGGGAAGUACGAUCGCAAGAUUAAA
rnacentral:rRNA from 1 species